CCCACCAGAAGGGCAGGAGGGUCCUGAGGCUCCUUUUCCUGCUGCUUCCCGUCCUGUCUGCUGUUGUCUACUGCUGGGGCUCAACGGUGUGGGGAAAGGGAGCGUUGCGGUCUCCUUAGCGCCUGGAUCGAGUUCAACACAGAGACGGAUCUUCCCGAGUGACCUCCGCAGGGUGGCAGGCUGAAGCGGGGAGCACUUUGGCAGAAGGUGCCUUUGCUGCCUGCAUACCUCUCGGAGAGCCUAGGGGGUCAGACGGAGGCCCGCAAGAUGCUCUGCUGAACGUGGCUGGUUAAAGAGCCCAACCUUCGGGUCAGGGUCUCUCUAAAGCGACUCGAAGCAGCAGGAAAUUCUGCCAGCUCUCCCUAGGGGAGUCUCCUUUGGGAAGCCCUGGCAGUGCUCCUCGUGCUUGCUCCAGUGGAGUGUCUUUAUCUUGCAGAAGAUGUCAGGCCUGCCUGAAGAGGAGCUGCAGUCUCGAGGGAACUCCCAGCCUUGGCUGGAGCAGAUGCGGGAGCUCAAGGAGACAGCGGCUCAGGUGUCUGCUGCGAGGGGGAACAUACUGCAGGCUGAGUGAGAGAGGUCCUCAGAGACCACGGUGUCCAAGAGGAGAAGA